AGAGGGUGCAAACGUUGUUCGGAUUUACUGGGCGUAAAGCGUGUGUAGGCGGCUUCGCAAGUUGGAUGUGAAAUCCCACGGCUCAACCGUGGACGUGCAUCCAAAACUGCGUCGCUAGAGUCUCGGAGAGGAAGGUGGAAUGCUUGGUGUAGAGGUGAAAUUCGUAGAUAUCAAGCAGAACACCUGCGGCGAAGGCGGCCUUCUGGACGAUGACUGACGCUGAGACACGAAAGCGUGGGGAGCAAACAGGAUUAGAUACCCUGGUAGUCCACGCCGUAAACGAUGAGUGCUAGGUGUCACGGGCUUUGACCCUCGUGGUGCCGUAGCUAACGCAAUAAGCACUCCGCCUGGGGAGUACGGUCGCAAGACUAAA
rnacentral:rRNA from 1 species